rnacentral:rRNA from 1 species
UGGGGAAUAUUGGACAAUGGGGGGAACCCUGAUCCAGCCAUGCCGCGUGUGUGAAGAAGGCCUUAUGGUUGUAAAGCACUUUAAGCGAGGAGGAGGGUACUGGUAUUAAUACUACCAGCUACUGGACGUUACUCGCAGAAUCAGCACCGGCUAACUCUGUGCCAGCAGCCGCGGUAAUACAGAGGGUGCGAGCGUUAAUCGGAUUUACUGGGCGUAAAGCGUGCGUAGGCGGCUAAUUGAGUCGGAUGUGAAAUCCCCGAGCUUAACUUGGGAAUUGCAUUCGAUACGGGUUAGCUAGGGUGUGGGAGAGGAUGGUAGAAUUCCAGGUGUAGCGGUGAAAUGCGUAGAGAUCUGGAGGAAUACCGAUGGCGAAGGCAGCCAUCUGGGCUAACACUGACGCUGAGGUACGAAAGCAUGGGGAGCAAACAGG